UACGUAGGGCGCAAGCGUUGUCCGGAAUUAUUGGGCGUAAAGAGCUCGUAGGCGGUCUGUCGCGUCGGCUGUGAAAACCCGAGGCUCAACCUCGGGCCUGCAGUCGAUACGGGCAGACUAGAGUGCUGUAGGGGAGACUGGAAUUCCUGGUGUAGCGGUGAAAUGCGCAGAUAUCAGGAGGAACACCGGUGGCAAAGGCGGGUCUCUGGGCAGUAACUGACGCUGAGGCACGAAAGCCAGGGGAGCAAACGGG
rnacentral:rRNA from 1 species